UGAGGAAUUUUGCGCAAUGGGAGCAAUCCUGACGCAGCAACGCCGCGUGGGUGAUGAAGGCCUUCGGGUCGUAAAGCCCUGUCAGGUGGGAAGAAUGUCCCGGGACUGAACAGGUUCCGGGAGUGACGGUACCACCAGAGGAAGCACCGGCUAACUCCGUGCCAGCAGCCGCGGUAAAACGGAGGGUGCAAGCGUUAUUCGGAAUUACUGGGCGUAAAGCGCGUGUAGGCGGUCCUGCAAGUCUGAUGUGAAAGCCCCGGGCUUAACCCGGGAAGUGCAUUGGAAACUGUGGGACUUGAGUACUGGAGAGGAUGGGGGAAUUCCCGGUGUAGAGGUGAAAUUCGUAGAGAUCAGGAGGAAUAUCAGUGGCGAAGGCGCCCAUCUGGACGGUAACUGACGCUGAGACGCGAAAGCGUGGGGAGCAAACA
rnacentral:rRNA from 1 species